AAACUACGGUCUCAGUUCAGAUUGCAGGCUGCAACUCGCCUGCAUGAAGUUGGAAUUGCUAGUAAUCGCGAAUCAGAAUGUCGCGGUGAAUACGUUCCCGGGCCUUGUACACACCGCCCGUCACACCAUGAGAGUCGAUAACACCCGAAGCCUGUGAGCUAACCGUAAGGAGGCAGCAGUCGAAGGUGGGGUUGAUGAUUGGGGUGAAGUCGUAACAAGGUAUC
rnacentral:rRNA from 1 species